GAUGAACGCUGGCGGUCUGCUUAACACAUGCAAGUCGAACGAACUCUUCGGAGUGAGUGGCGGACGGGUGAGUAACGCGUGAGAAUCUGCCUGUGGGUCGGGGACAACCACUGGAAACGGUGGCUAAUACCGGAUGAGCCGAAAGGUAAAAAAUUUAUUGCCCACAGAUGAGCUCGCGUCUGAUUAGCUAGUUGGUAAGGUAAAAGCGUACCAAGGCGACGAUCAGUAGCUGGUCUGAGAGGAUGAGCAGCCACACUGGGACUGAGACACGGCCCAGACUCCUACGGGAGGCAGCAGUGGGGAAUUUUCCGCAAUGGGCGAAAGCCUGACGGAGCAAGACCGCGUGGGGGAAGGAAGGUUUUUGGAUCGUAAACCCCUUUUGUCANGGAAGAAGUUCUGACGGUACUUGACGAAUAAGCCUCGCUAACUCCGUGCCAGCAGCCCCGGUAUACGGAGAAGGCAGCCUUUUCCGAAUAAUUGCCGAAACGCCUUUGGUGCCCCUAAU
rnacentral:rRNA from 1 species